GCUAUACUUGGGUGGGACUAUUUCUGGACUCUAUUCUGACAUUGAUCUGUGUGUCUGUUACUUUACCAAUAUUGCCCUGUCUUGAUUACUGUAGCUACAUAGUAAGUCUUAAAACCAGGAAAUAUGUUUCUUCCAACUUUUUGCCUCUUUUUCAGAAUUUUAGGUAUUUUAUAGUUCCUUUGUCUUUUCAUAUAAAUUUUAGAAUAAGAUUGUCUAUGUCUUAAAAAAAGAUCCUGCUGAGAUUUUGAUAGAAAUUGUGUUAAAUGUAUAGACCAAUUUAGGGAGAACUGAUAUCUUUACUAUAUUGAGCCUUCCAAGGCACGAACACAGUAUGUCUCCCCGUUGUUUUAGGUUUUCUCUGAUUUCUUUCAUUGGCCUUUUGUAGUUUGCAGCACACAAACAGAUCCUAAACAUGUUUUGUUAGUUUAAGUAUUUCAAUUUGCUUCAUUGUAAAUGUGUAUUAUGUUUAAAAUUUCAGUUUCCAAUUGUUCAUUGCUAGUAUAUAGAAAUACCAGUGAUUUUUUGUUAAUCUUGUAUCUGUGGCUUCCCUAGACUCACUUAUUGGUUCUGGAAAGGUUUUUGUGUUUAGAUUCCUUGGGAGUUUCUACAUACACAGUGUCAUGUGAAUAGGGACAGUUUUAUUUUCCCUUUAAAUCUCUUUUCCAGUGCCUUUUAAUUUUCUUUUCUUGCCAUAUUGCACUGACUAGGAAUUCCAGUAUUAUGCUGAAUAGGAGUGGUGAGGCUGGACAUCUUUGCCUUGCUCUUAAUGUUAUGGGGGAAGCAUUCAGUCUUUCAUCAUUAAGUAUGAUGUUGACUAUAGGGUUUUUUGUUUUUUAUUUUUUCUAGAUACUUUUCAUUUGGUUCAAGAAGUUUCCUUCUAUUCCUAGUUCCCUGAGUUUUUAUCAUGAAUGGGGUUUGAAUGUUAUGAAUGCUUUUCCUGCUUCAAUUGAUAUGAUCAUGUGGUUUUCCUUCUCUAGACUAUUAAUAUGGUGGAUUGCAUUGAUUAUUGAAUAUUGACCUAGCUUUUCAUUCUUGGAUUAAUCCCACUUGCUUAUGGUGUCUUGUACUCUUUAUAUAUGGCUGGAUCCAAUUUGCUAAUAUUUCAUUGAGGAUUCUUGUCUCUGUGUUCAUGAGGGAUGUUGGUCUAUGGUACUGCAUUUGUAUGGUUUUGAUAUCAGGGUAAUGUUGGCUUCAUAAAAUGAUUUGAGAAGUGUUCCCUCCUCUAAUUUCCUGGAAGGGAUUGUGCAGGAUUGUUAUUUCUUUAAACGUUUGGUAAAAUUUACCAGUGAAACCAUCUGGCUUUGGUGAUUUCCUUUUUGGGGGACGGUUUUAAUGAUAACUUCAGUGUCUUUGCUAGUUAUACAACUACUCAGAUUAUGUAUUAUUUCAUCUUCAGUGAGUUUUAGUAGUUUGUGGUUUUCAAGGAAUCGGUUUAUUUCAUCUAACUUGAGUUUAAGUGCAUAAAGUUGUUCCUGGUGUUCCUUUAUUUUGGGAAUAUCUUGAGGGAUCUGUAUGAUAUACCAUCUCUCAUUCCUAAUAUUGGUAGUUUGUAUCUUUUUUUCCCUUGGAUGACCCUCUAGCAAGAUUGACACUUCCACUGAUUUUGUCAAAGAACUGGUUUUGAUUUUUUUUUCUAUUUUUGCCUUUGACUUCAUUGUUUUCUGCUCUUUCUUUACUGUCUUUAUUUUGGUGAACGGCCCCCUGCUGUUGAUGGGUGGAGUUCUAUAAAAAUAAAUGGAGCUAAGCUGCUUAAUGGUCCUGUUUUCUCUAUUACAUCCUUGACGAGAAGAGCGUCUUCACUUGCAUGCAGUCCAGUCGAUCCAGUAUAUAUAACACUUAGUGGCUAGCUCUUUGUGUCUUAUUUGGUAAAAAGUUACCUAUCCCUAUUUUUUCUUUCAAAAGCUUUACUGUUUUACCUUUUACAUUUGCAGUUUAUCCUGGCUUGUUCUGUAUGGUAUAAGUAAGGGUUAAGAAUACUUUUUUGUUGUUUCUAUUGCAAGUAUCAAUUGACCCUAGUUAUUUUUACUAUUUUUUUUUAAAUGAGAAACCUAUUGCUUGGGGCAGCAAUUUGCUGAAGAAGCCUGAAAAGGGAGGGAGCCACAGGGGGUGUCCCUGACUCAGAGAGAAGCCCCGUAGCAGGCUGUGUGUGUGUGACGUUAUUUGGCCUUUACGUCUAGGCAGUCGCUAAAGGUUGGUAGCUGUGGGCAGUUAUCACCCCUGCCCCAAAGGGGUCUUCUCCAGCCAGCCCCUUCCCUCUUUUUGUGGGGAUGGCUUAUGUGUGUGUCUCCUCAUUUAGCUCUGGUGUCACUUGGGGCCAAGGAGCCUAGUGAGGCUGUGAAUCUUACUUUGGAGGAAUGUGGGCUUUGCCUGGGAGCUUCCGGGGUCCACUUUGACCUUCUUCGCUCUGUCUGGCCUGGGUGUUACCACCCGGGGCAGCCUGUCUCACAGCUCCUGUGGCUGGAUGAAAUGAUUCACUUUUGUGUGUCAGUUUGGCUAGGCCAUGGUGCCUAGAUGUCUCUGGGAUUUUUUAGAUGUGAUUAACAUUUCAACCAGUAGACUCUGAAUGAAGCAGAUGACCAUCAUGUGGGCGGGCCUCAUUCCAAUCAGUUGAAGGCUAGAAGACUGAGGUCCCCAAGAAGAAAGGAACCCAGACCCGAGCCCUGCAGUACCAGCUCCUUCCUGAGGCUCCAGCCUGUCGGCCAGCGCUGGAAAUGUCGGACUCCCUGGCCCCGACAGUCACGUCCUUCACUGUUUGUCCCAGGGCCUGGCGGGACACAGUGGUGGAUGGACGCAAGGCUGAGCCCAAGCUCCCCGCCAGUUUCCCAGGAAUAGCCAGGUGAGUGACCUGACGCCACGGUGUCCUGAAAGCACCUCUCGGAAGAGGUGGGACAGGGGGAGGGCCACAGUCACAUAAAAAUAUAAAUUUAGGGGAAUUUUACAUGGGUCGGGGUCCACUAUACAUCUUCCUGGUGGAUCUGGGCUUUCUGGGCUCUGGAGCAGAAUUUUUCACAUAGUUUGAAGAGCUCUGACAAAAUGAACACGGAGGAGGCCAAUCCAGUUAAAAGCAAUAGAUCUGCCAACAGGUGAAGAGAGAAAAAGGUCAGAGAGUGCAAGCUGGCCCCUCUGGUCCCCAGCCCUGUGCUGCCCAGCACCGGAGCCCAGGGGGCCGCGGAGUUCCGUUCCCCGUGCUUGGUUCGUUCUGAGUCACAGAGGCAAGGGGCCAGGACCCGGGAGCCAAGGACCGGACUUUCCACUGUCCUGAUGGGGCAGAGAUUUCCCCAGCCCAGCAUCCAAAACGCUGCAGAGCCAGCUCCACCAGGACCAGCUGGUCUUUGCAGGCGGCUCAGAGCUGGGGGGCGGGCAGGCUGCAAGCCUCAGCUGUAAGGAGACCGUUCCUUGGGCAGACGUCCCGGCCACGGCUCAGGCUCCCAGUCCCGCCCGACUCCAGCUAGUUCUGACCCCUACAUUCUCCCCCUGAGCCUUUUCUGGGCUCCCUGCUGUCAACGAUGCGUGACGGACAUAGUGCCCGGCACAGGCCCUGCACUUCCUUUAGACUUGGGAAGCUUCCUGAAUUCCCAGUGGAUGGAAACAUCUGUAAAAAAACAUUUUUAGGUUUUUUUCCUUUCUCCGUACCCUCAGGGACCCUGCUUUUUAGAUUUUUGGGGAAGGAGAAGCGGAGGGUUCCCAGUCUUGCCCAAAGGUUUUCAGUGCCCUUGUCUCCACCACCUCGGAGGCUGCUGAGCAUUUCAUGAUCCUGGGAUGUGCCCCGCCCUGUGCUCUGCCUUGGAGGCUGCCCUGGGGGGCUGCCUCCCCAGCCCCCUCACACUCUGGCUCCCCAGUGGGGUCUGGGAUUGCUGACGGAAAGCUGGGUCGGCGGUCGCCCUGGUGCUCUCCCUGCACUGCUGCUCUCCAGGCCACCUCCUCCCACUCCUGGUCCCCGUCAGCACCGUUUCAGGCAGAGAAGGCCAAGCCACGCGGCGCAGCUUCCGAAGAGAAGCCUGCUGAAGAUGCGGGGCAGUCCCCGGGGUGCCCCACGUGGCAUGUGUGCUUGGGGCCCAGACAGCUGUGGUCAUUGCAUGUGGCCCUUUCAGCAGGGACUACCAGCUGGCCCACUCCUGCCUCCAGGUAAGUGGGUCCCAGGGACACAGGCCCUGUUCAAACCCCAACAGGGUAACCACACUCCUAAGCUGGGGCAGCACAUCACAGGCUGAGCCCAGACUGUGGUCCAUCCUGGCGCUGCCCCUGGGCCUCACCGUCCCUGCUCUGAGCCUCCUGCUGUGGGGAGGGGGUGGGCCGGGACGUUGAGACCCCUGUGCCCUCCCCUGACUCCUAGCAGGUACCCCCGUGUUUCCCGCCUUCUCCACUCCCCCCAUCGCGUCGCCCCCUCCUACCCAGUGCAGAUGUCCAGGAACGAGCCCAGUCCUUUGGGGACAGGAUGGCCCCACGCAGGGACUUUACGCCCCGGAAAGGUCUGCAGCUGCCCCGUGCAUGCGGCAAGGACGGCUGUGGUCCCGGGUGACCCCUCCCACUCACCGAGCGCCCCCAGGUUCUCCGUCUGGAAGACCUUCUGCAGGGGCGGCAGGUAUAUCACUGCUAGCUGCCCCAGGACAGAACCGAGCACGGAGUAGAGGAACGUGUGGUUCCUGAGGAAGCCGAUCUCGGAUAUCAGCUUGGUCUGCAGAGAAGAAGGGCACAGUUGGGGCACAGGAGCCGCCCAGAGACGAGGGCCAGGAAAGCGUGAGCUGGGGCAGUGGGGGCUCACCUGGGAGCGGCAGGUCAAGGCGUUGAAGAGGUCGAAGAGCACGAAGCAGGUGAAGGUCAUGGUUGUGGUACGUGGGGUGCUUGCCUUGUCUUCGGGCAUCUGGAACACGAGUGCACGGGGUGAGAAGGUGCAGGGGAGGCGGGGACCCUGUCCUCAGGACCCCUGUGUGAGAGCUGACAGAUCUGUGCCUCUCUCCCCCGCCUGGCUGAGCACACGCGCUGGACAAAGGUGGGGGCCUCUUCCACCUUCUGGGCCAUUGAGGAUGCAAGAGCCCAGCUGCUCCUUGGGGGUGGUGUGGGGAACACCUGAGAAAAACAGAGCUGGGGGCUGUCUGGCGCCCCAUCCCCCCUCCCGCACAUGGGCGAGCUGGGGUUUAAACGCCUGGACGAUCACCUGCCUAAUUCUCUAUCUAGCUCACCGGCCGUGUCAGCACAGGGGCUGUCUGAACCUGCAGGCCAUGGAAAGGUGACGCAUAGUAAAGAUCCCCUACAGCGAGAACAGACGGCCUCUUCACAGCACUACUUACAAAAGCCAAAACAUGGACGCAGCCUCAACGUCCAUCAACAGAGGAAAGCAUAAAGAGGUGGUACAUACAUACAAUGGAAUAUUACUCAGCCAGAAAAAAGAGUGAAAUAAUGCUACCUGCGGCAACGUGGACCUGGAGCUUAUCAUACUAAGUGAAGUAAGCCAGACAAAGACAAAUAUAUGCUAUCACUUAUAUGUGGAGUCUAAAAAAAAAUGAUACAAAUGAACUUAUUUACAAAACAGACUCACAGACUUUGAAAACAAACUUAUGGUUACUAAAGG